UACGUAGGGUGCGAGCGUUAAUCGGAAUUCUGGGCGUAAAGCGUGCGCAGGCGGCUUUGCAAGACAGAUGUGAAAUCCCCGGGCUUAACCUGGGAACUGCAUUUGUGACUGCAUGGCUGGAGUGCGGCAGAGGGGGAUGGAAUUCCCAGUGUAGCGGUGAAAUGCGUAGAUAUCAGGAAGAACACCCGUGGCGAAAGCGGCUCUCUGGAACGGUACUGACGCUGAGACGCGAAAGCGUGGGGAGCGAACAGG
rnacentral:rRNA from 1 species